rnacentral:tRNA from 1 species
GGAGUUAUAGCUCAGUGGUAGGGUGUGUGCUUAUCAUGCACACGGUCCUAAGUUCAAUCCCCAGCAGCUCCA